rnacentral:rRNA from 1 species
UAGGGAAUAUUGCACAAUGGGCGAAAGCCUGAUGCAGCGACGCCGCGUGCGGGAUGAAGGCCCUUGGGUUGUAAACCGCUUUUGGCAGGGAAGAAGCGAAAGUGACGGUACCUGCAGAAUAAGCCCCGGCCAACUACGUGCCAGCAGCCGCGGUAAUACGUAGGGGGCGAGCGUUGUCCGGAUUUAUUGGGCGUAAAGACCUCGUAGGCGGUUUGGUAAGUCAGCGGUGAAAGUUCGGAGCUCAACUCCGAAAGUGCCGUUGAUACUGCCAUGACUUGAGUCCGGUAGGGGAGUGUGGAAUUCCUGGUGUAGCGGUGAAAUGCGCAGAUAUCAGGAGGAACACCAGUGGCGAAGGCGGCACUCUGGGCCGUGACUGACGCUGAGGAGGGAAAGCUAGGGGAGCAAACAGG